rnacentral:sRNA from 1 species
UUUCAGUAUUAACUGCCGAAGACAGCAGGUGCCGCAAGGCAUAAGGUGCAAACGCCUGCCGAGGAAUGUACAAGAAUCAUUUUUUUUAAAUGAAUUUGUAGACCUCUCUGUCCUUUGGGCGGAGGGGUUUUUCUAUGG